UCCAGGUUUUGCAUCGUGGGUCACGUUGUAAACUUGUGAUGCUCUGGUAACGAAGAUAACCUUCGACAUUGGAGGUUUCUUAUUUCAGUCUUCCCAUCUCUCGUCUUUGUACUUCUUGUUAUUAGCGUGUUGGAAAUCAUCGAGAGUGAUAUAGAAUUUUUUUAAAGGUAUCAACCAGAGGUUAAUCACAGUGACGCCCUUUAAAAGAUCUAGAAUUUGUGUUGGUGUGGCUGCGCAGCUGUCAGCAGCCUUCUUCGUCAAUAAGGCCAUCUUGUCUCAGCUGCUGGCUAGAGUUAAUAUAAAUUGUGUGAGAAUGGCUGCCAUACCAUAUGCUGCCCAUACAGCCAAGAAAGUCCGUGAGAACCUGACAAAGCAGCAAAAUAUGGAGACUGACAACAUGAAAAAAGGACAAGAAAAGGAGAGGGGUCGAUUCCAAGGAAUCACAGGUGGAGUUACUGUAGGUCAUACUGACCUACGAAAUGUCCUGUCUUUUACUCCCCCGAAAUACAAUAGUAAGAUGAUGGACAGCAUCUGGGGGCUGUACAACCGAUAUGCACCCCAUGCAUUUCAGAAGAACUCCGAGGGUUCCUUGGUUGGCCAGGAGGUCACUGCCACCCCCCAGGCUAAAUCUUAUGGGCCUGCUCACUAUGGGGUGGCUUAACUGAAGCUUUUUUUUCUCACUACCAGCGCAGCUUUCCCAUGCCAAUACAGGAGGAUUUGAAAUCCUGCUGGCAGCUUUCCAGAUCUUGCUGGUUGUGGGAGGAUAGCUUCAGUUUAUGGAGGAGUUGCUACCAUCUGCCCAUGGUUCGCUCCACCUGUGUACUCUCUGUAGUCUUAAUUAGUGGUAUUCUAUGCAUUAUAAUGAUUGUGUGUGUGUGUGUGUAGUUUAGCUUAUCAGUAUGAAAAUACUACUAAAAUUGUUUUGGAAAGAUAGCCAUGAGGUGGCCCAUUUCGCUUUGUGCUUGCUACAUUCCAGACUUUAUUUGUCUGCUUCUAAAUAUUGUCUAAUAGUUAGCUUAAUGAAACAAUUUAAAUAUGACAAAAAAAACUUUUGUUUAUUUUCUGCGUUAAUUAUGGCUUUGAAAAUCUCGGUUGAAGUGAAAGAGACUGGUGAAUUAUUACUGGUACAACAUUUGAGAUUUUUACAACUCUAGACUCACAGUCACGUGCAACUUUUUUUUUUAGUUUUUCAAUACUUACUAUUUGUUGUUUAUAUAUAUAUAUAUAUUUUUAUUUUUACUGACCCUUCUAGUUUAAUACCUUAUAAUGUAGCAGAGAGAAAGCAAAUCUGAAAUACGCAACUAUAAAAUUUUGUUUCUCAUAAAUUCAGUUUUAUUUGUUAUGAAUAAACACUUAGUGCUUGUUCCAUAAAAUUUGUGUUAAAAUCCCCAAAGAACAGUUUUCUACUACGUAUGGACUAGAGAACAAUUUAAAGAAUUAAUUUAAAUUUCAAUAAAUAUUUGGUUAACAGUAGACUUAAAAGUAGAAACUAAAAGUUUAUCAAUUCAGAUUUUCUAAUGUCUUCAUGUAUAUGCUUUUUUUAAUUCCCCUUUUCAAUAAUGAUUACCUAGGGUCAAACCUCUAUGGAUAUCUUUAAAUAAAUUUCUUUAUUUUUUCUUUUGUCAUGGCUUCUAUUUGUAGUAUAAAAAUAGUUUUUAUUUAGAAACGUUUGUGUGUAUUCAGCAUGGUCUUAUAUUAGAUAUAAAUCAAUCAUUGCUAGAAAGAAGUAAAUGCUGUAAUAUAUUAUGUUAAAUAUAUAAAGGAUGUAUUUGGUGGUGCCCUCUGUUGACAAUUUAUAUUUUAUAGGUGUAACUUAAAUGAACCUAAUGUUUAUUUAGAAACGUUUUUGUUUGGUAAUGGUAGUAUUUUUUUAUAUUAAGUAUAAAUCAGUUGUUGGCACAAGGGAAUAAACAAUGUAAAAUGUACUGAUAUCAAGUAUCUACAAGAACGCAUAGUGGUGCUAUCUAUACACAGUGUUGAGAAACAUCUUGUAUCUUAAUAUACACGUAAGAAUUUUGUCUGAUAAAAGCAAACAAGAGACAGCAAUAGCUACUAACAUUUUAAGUAAUUGUUGUACCAUGAAGUUCUUGUUAUUCUAAUAAAUAACAGUCUUGAAUUAUCAUGAAAUACGAAAGAAGUAUUCAACCACAGCACAUUUAAAACAUUCAUAUUGUGAAUUGUGUAUUUUAACAGCAUUUUUUUUUCAUGUCAUAUAGUUGUUCUAUGAUAGUCUCACGAUAAAAAAAAGCUUUUAAAGGAAUUCUGGGAAACAACUAUGCCCAUUAGUACAAUGGCAACUAUUUCGAAUCUUUUUUUGAUUGGAGUAUUGUAGUGUUAUACAUACAUUUACAUGAACUUCUGCGUAUGUAUAGGCUACAGUAAACAAACAUUAAGAGUUUUGCAUACGCAGGUUUUUCAGUUGAAGAAUAAUGCUUUUCGUGUUAUUUUGCAAACUGUGGUUUACUACUAUGCAUAUUAAAUUUUUCAUUAAAAAUUUUACAAAAUACAAAACAUUUACUAGUUACUGUUUUAAAACUCCUAUUAGAAAUUAAUUUCGUAUGCCAAAAAACGUAUUUAUAUUUUAAGUCCACCAAUUAUUAUUAUGUUAGUUUAAAAGUAGACGUCGCUGUGUGAAAUGAAUGCAAAACUGUACACGAGUUUUUUUUUUGCGUCACAAGCUCAGGGUUAGUUAGCUCCACCCAAAUGUUAAGCUAAUAAAACAUGUAUACAAAACAUCUUAUUUUUUCGAGACCUUUUCAGCAACAGAUAUAACUAUAAGACCGUUAAAAUGUCCAAAAUCUAAAUAUUGUAACUAAUUACUAAAAUUUAAUUUAUUUACAGUUCUUAAGUAUAACGUUUGGAUCGUGUGAAUAUUCACACGAUCCAACACCGAGUGUCUGAAACACCGAGUGUUUCACAACACCGAGUGUCUGAAAUGAUUCUUUACAAUUUACCUUCACCCAGAAAAAAAAAAAUUGAUGAGGAGAAGAAGAAAUAUGAAUACGGUAGUUGAGUACAGGUAUAUUUAAAAACGACUAAAAGUGUGGCUAAAAACGGGGCAUUUAGGGUAUGUAUUUGGUGCGAAGAUUUAAGAUAAGUCAUGCGACUUGUCGCUAGUCCCAAUGCCGGAUUCGGGAUGUUGGGCAUUUUCUUAUUUCCUUCUUUCGGCACCAGCGUUAUGGAAGUUAGCUAAAUAAGUUAUUAAUUCGCUCGUAUUUAUACGAAUAUUUCAAAUCAAUAAUGUGUUAUUUUAACAAAUCUAAUAACCUGCUCAGUAUUUUUGAUAUGCUCUGUAUGUACAAUAAUUUUACUUAUUAAAUAACGGAGACUUAAAUAACAUUUAGUAAAAUAACUUGCUUCAUAAGAACGUGGAUUACAUUUUUCGUAUUACUACAGUCACGUUCUUUAACGUAAAAACAGUCACGUAAAAUAACUUGCUUCAUAAGAACGUGGAUUACAUUUUUUGUAUUACUACAGUCACGUUUUUUUUUUCACAUUUUCAAUUUCAAAUGUAAAGAAAAACAAAUCGUCUCAAAUCCCCUUCUGUAAGUUUCGCAAUUCGGAAGUUCGUCUUUACUGCAGAAAACCCUAAAUAUACUUUCUCAAAAAUUGUGUUUAAAAGUGAUUUCCAUGUUUUUAUAGAGCUAUUGUUUUUUAAAUGCACCAAGUAUUUACAACUUGUGAUAAUUCGUCGGUCAGAUUUGUUUCUAGCUGUUACUGUUCGAAAAGUUUCUAAACAUUUCGACAAAAGAAAUUGAAGUUUAACUGCAAAUGAAAUAAGACUUGUUUUGACUAAAUCCUACCGAAUGUGGGCUUCCUUUGCGAGUGGUAAAUUAAUUAAACCUGAUUGGGUAAAUUGCACAGUUUUCUGUAUAAUCGCAGCAAUACAUGUUUAAACCCAUAUUUUGGGCAUUAGUUGAAUGUUUUUAAUUAGGAUAGAAAAUACUUUUAUUUCAAAAGUUUUUGACGCUUGUGUAUAAAGAGCGAACACAAUUUGUUACCGAGGUGUUAAUUCUUAGUGUGUAUACAAUGCAAGAUAUUUUAAAACUCUCGUUCAUCAUCUGAGUAUUGAAUUUUAAUUUGUUAGUUUUUGAUCUUGUUAAAUAAAUUAUCUUUUCUUAAAGAAAUGUUAAAACUAAGCUAAAGAAAUAACAAUAUAGUGUUUGGUGCUAUCUAUGAAUAGUUAUUUAACUGAACUUUUUUAAUACCAAAGCAUGUUAGUAAACUUAAUAAAAAGUAUUCUUUAUUUUUAAAUAAUUCUAUGAGUUGCACAUAACGAAUCAGGAGUUUGAGUCACGAAACUGAAUUGUGCAUUACGGUGAAAAAAAAUUGUUUUGGUAUUUGAAAGGCAUCUUUUGAAGCUCAAUUACGUCACAAUAAGAUGAUACUGUAGCGCCACCCUAUUGGUCCAUUUUAUAGUUGUUAUCACCUGCUGGAAUAUUCUACGCACGUGAACUAACGCUGAAGAGAUGAAAAAUAGAUUUUUAAUACUUUUAAAAUAAUCUGGAAUUAGAAUCGGAAUCAGUGUGAAAACACGGAUAAUUUUGUUGUUUGUCUGUCAGAUGUGUGACUAUUUGAUGUGCUCUAGCUUGUAUUGUACAGAAUAUUUUGUGAGGUGUGUUUCAGUGUAUUCAUUUACCAUAUACAUGUUCUGUGAUAUCUGAGAAAGUGGGAUAAGCUGCAGUGUGUAUUAAUAAUUUGGAAGAAACUAGUCUUGAAUAAAGAUGAUUCUGUGUUUA
rnacentral:misc_RNA from 1 species